AUGAGGGCCCUGAGUACUGUACAUUGUGAUGGAUAUUGGUGGUGGAUGAGGGCCCUGAGUACUGUACAUUGUGAUGGAUAUUGGUGGUGGAUGAGGACCCUGAGUACUGUACACUGUGAUGGAUAUUGGUGGUGGAUGAGGACCCUGAGUACUGUACAUUGUGAUGGCUAUUGGUGGUGGAUGAGGACCCUGAGUACUGUACAUUGUGAUGGAUAUUGGUGGUGGAUGAGGACCCUGAGUACUGUACAUUGUGAUGGCUAUUGGUGGUGGAUGAGGACCCUGAGUACUGUACACUGUGAUGGAUAUUGGUGGUGGAUGAGGACCCUGAGUACUGUACAUUGUGAUGGCUAUUGGUGGUGGAUGAGGGCCCUGAGUACUGUACACUGUGAUGGAUAUUGGUGGUGGAUGAGGACCCUGAGUACUGUACAUUGUGAUGGCUAUUGGUGGUGGAUGAGGGCCCUGAGUACUGUACACUGUGAUGGAUAUUGGUGGUGGAUGAGGACCCUGAGUACUGUACAUUGUGACGGAUAUUGGUGGUGGAUGAGGGCCCUGAGUACUGUACAUUGUGAUGGAUAUUGGUGGUGGAUGAGGACCCUGAGUACUGUACAUUGUGACAGAUAUUGGUGGUGGAUGAGGGCCCUGAGUACUGUACAUUGUGAUGGAUAUUGGUGGUGGAUGAGGACCCUGAGUACUGUACACUGUGAUGGAUAUUGGUGGUGGAUGAGGACCCUGAGUACUGUACAUUGUGAUAGCUAUUGGUGGUGGAUGAGGGCCCUGAGUACUGUACACUGUGAUGGAUAUUGGUGGUGGAUGAGGACCCUGAGUACUGUACACUGUGAUGGAUAUUGGUGGUGGAUGAGGACCCUGAGUACUGUACACUGUGAUGGAUAUUGGUGGUGGAUGAGGACCCUGAGUACUGUACACUGUGAUGGAUAUUGGUGGUGGAUGAGGACCCUGAGUACUGUACAUUGUGAUGGAUAUUGGUGGUGGAUGAGGGCCCUGAGUACUGUACAUUGUGAUGGAUAUUGGUGGUGGAUGAGGACCCUGAGUACUGUACACUGUGAUGGAUAUUGGUGGUGGAUGAGGACCCUGAGUACUGUACACUGUGAUGGAUAUUGGUGGUGGAUGAGGACCCUGAGUACUGUACACUGUGAUGGAUAUUGGUGGUGGAUGAGGGCCCAGAGUACUGUACACUAUGAUGGAUAUUGGUGGUGGAUGAGGACCCUGAGUACUGUACAUUGUGGUGGAUAUUGGUGGUGGAUGAGGACCCUGAGUACUGUACACUGUGAUGGAUAUUGGUGGUGGAUGAGGGCCCUGAGUACUGUACACUGUGAUGGAUAUUGGUGGUGGAUGAGGACCCUGAGUACUGUACUGCCCUCUCCACUGAAGAGAGUUUUGUCUUGGUGGAUUGAUAUUUGA
rnacentral:lncRNA from 1 species